GAGAAAAAUUUAAAGAAACCAAAUUUGGGGUACUUCCUGAUAUUUCCCUCAUUUCUCUUUACCCACAAUUGCUAUUUAACCUGAUUUCAGUUUUGUCUCCCAGUCCUGAAUCGAGUUCGUUCCUGGACACCUUCCUGGUUGUUCUGAAUUUGUAUAAUACUUGGUACUUCAGGUUUUCAAAUAGGUAAUAGCUAAUGGUCCUGAAGGGGGGGCUCUGCAUCGCACACCCCUUUCAGACAAAUGGAAUCCAGACGACAGUGGUUGUGUUCUGUUCUAAGUACGUGUUGGGCUGGGGGUGUGGGGUGGAAAUCCUAUAAAAUUGGAUUGUGAUGAUCGUUGUACAACUAUAAAAUAAUAAAUUCAUUGAGUAAUAAAAAAAAAUAAGUAUGUGUUGGGGAGCCUCAGAGGUCCUAGAGAUGUGCAAAGUUCAGACUGAUUUUGUAGUAGAACUAAUAAGUUAUUUACCUUCGACUAUCUCAGUCUCUCAUGAACGUCCAGAGGAGUUUUCGAGAGGCUACAUGCCCUGUGAUAUUGUAACAGAUUACACAGAGCAGCAGAUAUGAGAAUCUAGCUUUUUUUUUUUUUAAAGCCAGACCUUUAGGUGAUUUGUAAAAUUGUAAAACAGUGCCACCUUUUUCAAUAAAUUUGUUUGGGGUUUGGAAAGCAUAGCUUUUUUUUUUUUAAAGUUAUUUAAAUUAUCAUGCUUUAUGACGGUUAUUCUAAGUGAUAAUAAAUAUUUUAAAAAUUAUUGGUUUUAAUUUUCAAUGCAAUGAAUGUACGUGGAUGUUUCUGGAAGAACGUGUGUGGUUUAAACGAGUUUCUAGUGUUCUAAGGGACAGUAACUUUGAGAACUUUGCCUGUGUUUCUCCCUCCGAGAGAAUACACAUUUUAUGGUUCCUCAUUUCUGAAAGAAAACUAAAAACACCAAGUUUGUCUCAAUGCCCCAGUUUCUAACAACUAUUUCUUUACUCCUUUCAGCAAAUGAGAAGGAAGAGAAAAAGCAUAACUGAAAACUGAGAGUAUUUAUGUCUUGGACAUAGCCAGAGCCCAGAUUGGGACUUGAACACAUGGUUUUUAAGUUGGUAUCACUCAUGGAGUUCCUGUCGUGGCUCAGUGGGUAAUGAAACCAACUAUCAUCCAUGAGGACAGGGGUUCAAUCCCUGGCCUCGCUCCAUGGGUUAAGGAUCUGGCAUUGCCUUAGCUGUGGUGUAGGUCGCAGAUGCAGCUCAGAUCCUGUGUUGCUGUGGCUGUGGUGCAGGCUGGCGGCUACAGCUCUGAUUCGACUCCUAGCCUGGGAACCUCCAUAUGCCGCCGGUGUGGCUGUAAAAGACAAAAAAAAAAACAACAAAAACAAAAAACAAAACCAAUAAAACAAAAAACCAAAACAAAAAACCCAAAAAACCAAAAACUUUAAAUUGGUAUCACUCAUCUGAUGCUUGGACUUACUAAGGUUCAGAUUCUUUGUGCCUCGGUGCAGAAGGAAUUCAGCAAGAGACAAAAUGAUAGGCAAAAAAAUAGAUUUAUUUAGAUAAGACACUUGUGAGAGAUGCAAGCAGGCAGGCAAGGAGGGUCUGGCCGAGGAUUAGGUGGCUACAUUUUUAUCAUCUGAGGGGAGUGAGGAUGAGAAAAAGCUGCUUCUUCCUCUUUCUUGGAGUUGUAGCCCCUCCUUGGUACCUGCUAAGAGAGUAUUUGACCCUAUAAGGUCGAACUGGGAUGGUCAGGGUGCCUAUUCAAAUCAGCAGAAGGGCGGUCCUUAAACUCCUGCCCUUGGUCUGAACCUGAAUGCAGGCCUCACCCCACCCCCCACCCAAUGACCUGAGGCAUAUCUCGCUCUUCCAUAUCUUGCUCUUCCGCUAGUCAAGCAAGCCUGCCUCCUCCUAAUGGGCCUCUCGAGCAAUUAUUAACUUACUGUGACCUCCCAAACUUCCCUAGGUUUCCCUCUCUAGGUCUCUCACUGGGACUUCUGCAGCUACCUGUGUAACUAUCCUCCGUCCCUAUCACAACCACACUGACCCUAUAGCCCGAGAUUUGUAUCCUCUUUCAAGCAGGCGUGCCCCAGGGGACACCCCAAUUCAUUCUUUCUUACUCUUUAAACCAAUAGCUCUAUAUUAAAAUAGAAUAUGAAAUUGUUAAGUGAAAGCAAAUUCUCCAAGCAUGUAGAUUCUUCACACUGUAGCUUUAAAAGCACUGGAACACUAUAAACUUUUCCAGCAGAAUGGAGCCCUUUUAAAACACAGAUAGAGCACCGAUUGCUGACAGAAUAAAGCCUAACCUCCUUGGCAUGGCAUUGGACUUCCUUCCUCUAUGAUCUGGGUCUGUCCUACCUUUCCUCUUGUCUAUCAUUUCUUCCCCCCAUCCAGCCUCCAACUCAGGGCACAGUUUGGUCCUGGACUACCUGCCUCCAGAUAACCUGCAUCACUUAACGCAGUCUGUGCCAGAUUUACUGACUCAGAAUAUCUAGCCAUCAUGCCGGAUAAUCUGUGUUGUACACAAGAUCCAUCCCCCACAUUGUGAUUCCUAAUAAAUCCUAAAUGUUGAGGGCUCCUGCUCCAGCUCCAAAUGAUAACUCAGUGGUUUUCAAGAUUCAGGACAAAUGCUCCUUUCUCCAGGUAGUUUGCUUGAAUAUUCACCAAGAUGGAGUCAAUGGCCCAUUUCCUGGUGCUUCCCGCUUGAGUCUGUGAUGGCACAGAUUUCAGGCUGCUUUCCAUUCAGGUCAGUGGUUUGCAUAGUCAUCCCCCACCCCCUCCAUCCAGAUUCUCUCUCUCUUCUGCUCUGUAUUCCCAAGGCUCUCAGUUGUGUUUACGGUGCUGUGCACAUAGUAGGUCCCCAGUGAGGGCUGGCCCUGACGAACCCUGCUGCAGAGUCAUUCCUUAGAGAGGACAGUUUCUGGGGACCAGCAGCAAUAAGCAAGAAAGCACAGCAGAGGGAAUUCCGUUAUCGUUCAUGGUAGAGAAACGUCGUCAUAGGUAUACGCUUUCUCUUUCCACAACCUGCGUGUAACACCAAAGAAUUUAUAACCACCUCCCUAUAGGCUGGUCCUUUAUCCACCACUCAAAGACAUGAUGAUUUUCUAGAAGAAGUUUAACAUCUAGUAUCCCUGCCGAAGCACUUCAGAGAUUAGACGUCACCAGAAGAGCUGAGAUGCACUGAAGCCGAGAAAUCGAUUUGCCAUAGAUACAGGCUUGAGCUUUAAGAUACCCACCAGUACACUCGCUGCAUUUGCAUAGGACUCCAGAGUUGCUUACAUAGAAUUAAAUACAUUUAAAAAGAAAUACCAGGACGUUUUUCUUAUCCCAAGGAAGCACAUCUUCUGCAGAUUUGAGCGGAUUGUUGUUGCUGGAAGAAUGUGGGUUGGUGAUAGGUUUUGCCCAUGUCUUCUUCGGCUGCCGGUAGGUUCGGAAACACAGCACGUGCAACCAGGUAGGUUGUUGGGUCGAAGUAAGGUCUGAUGAUGGCCUGGCGCAGCCUGUUAAGAAGGAGGGGAAAACAAAGGCAAGUUUGGGUAGAAUAAACACACAUCCACAUCCCGCAGGCACCAUUAGUAUUUGUUUCCUUUAUCUUGUAUGGGGAACACCCCUCAGAUACUCCGACCACAACGUUUCUGUAUCAGCUUCCCUAUUCUUUCCAGGGCCAGGCACCUGCUGUGUGGGUGGCUCCCUCCCGACAGCCUGGCAGGGGCUUCUCUUACAAAUUUGCUGGAAGGCAGUCACCGUAGAGGGCAGAGGUGAGGGUGUGGAGGGCAGGUGGCAGGACCCCUGAGCAGACCUGCCAGGGUCGAUGCCCUCUGUUUCUUCUGCCCUGUCGUUGUGCCAAGCCUUUCCUAUUCCCAAGGCCUAUUUAUGAGGGAGGCUGGGAGGGAGCUGUUGAGGCCCAGGGGCUUGGGCUCUACUGCACAGGGCAUGGGGGCCCAGGGACCCCCUUCCUCUGAGUGCAGGAGCAGAAGGCAGAAGCAAAAUGUGCUGGUAACAUGUGAGAUGCCUCUUAAAUGGAGAAAAGAAUGGGCGCUAUGACCUCAUUAAUAUAUAUUCGGUCUCUGCCCUUGACACAGAGCUUCAAAAACCCUUAGAAUUUCCAGGAUGAUAAGAGCAUCACUUGUUCUAAUGAGGCUACGCUUCGUGGGCCCCUGGAUAACCUCAGAAGAGGGCUGGUCACCAGAAAGACCAAGCCCACAUUUGGGGGGCGGCUGUGUGGCUCAGGCACCUUUGGGGGGCGGCUGUGUCCACUCUGGGGUACAAAUUCAUUUCUGGGUCUGCCCUGUCUGUCAGCUUCACGCUUCGUUGCAGGGGUGGGAGUACAGCGGUUCUGACAAGCAGAGCAGGGCCUUGGCCCCCAGAGUUGCCCUGGGAGGGUGAGGAAGGCUUGAGAAAAGAUCUGAGGCACAGGAAGGGCAGGGAAGGUGCUGGCACGGCCACUCUAAGCCAGCUAAAUUGUCAUUAGCCAAGAGAGGAGGGCGCACUCCUGUGCAGGUGCCUGGGUGCCAGGAGGGGCUGGGGAGAGAAUGAAAAGGGGGUUCCCAAAUGGGAGGGGAUUGACUGUCCUAAUGGGAGGGGUGCAAAGGGCACAGCGGAAGAGGGGGAUUCGGUGGGGUGGGGGGGGUCAGUGUUUCCUCUGCCAGGACAUGGGGGUGCAGGGGGCUCUGUGCCCCUGGCGCCCUCCCCGGCACUUGGGGUUUGGAGCAGUGACCUGGCCACUUAUCAUCCAGUCCUUCUCCAUGCAGUCAGUUUCUGGCCUCAAGCAAGCUCUCCUUCAAAUCUGAAAACAACUGUGUUGCAAAUACCCUGGCCCUGGGUCCAAGGAAGAUCGGUUUGGGAGUCAAAUGUGGAUGGCAGGGUGUUCCCACUGGAAGGGACACUGGGGGUCAGCAGCCUGUAGUCGUCAGUCUGCACAGGGAAAAUGCAGACCCAGACCUGCCAGGUCAGAGUAGUCACCCCCGCCUCACGAUGAAAUCCAUCCUACUCUUGAGUUUGGCACGGCAGCCCCCUGGAAUUACAGACAUCAGAGGUCUGCAAGUUCCACCCUAGGGAGCAGCUUUGCCUGUGGCAGCAGGACAUGCGCCAUGGGAGGUGGCCCUUGGCUGGUGGCGGGGGCCAGAUGGGAGAGCCCAUGCCUAAGGAAGCCUUUGGGGAGGCAGUUACUUUAUGGCUCAGGUGACACCACUUGGAGAUGCCCACUGGACUGCCCAGGACGCAGUGGGGUUGCUGACAGCAUCUCUGGGGCAGGGGGUGGACGGGUUCAUUUGCUGAGCAGUGCGCAGGGGACAAAGAGGGUCUGGGACUCUGCAUUGACAUAACAGAAACCGGUCAAUUCCCUGAGCCCACUCCCAGAAUGCACUGGAGGAGGGGUAUAGGAACUGGGGACAUGCUGAGCAGGCUGGUUCGGUGGUGCUGAAGGCGAAGGCCUGUCCCUCACAUGCCCGACUCCCCAACCUCUUCCUUUGGUGAAAGAGGUGACCCCUGAGUUCAUCGACUGUGGACUAUGGCAUAUGAGGGGGAAGAAACAGUGAUGGAAGGGACGGAAAUAAACCCUCUUCCUACCUGUGAUCCCUGAGAGCAAGGAUGCCACGUUGGCAUAAUCCUGCUUCCUGUAUAUUGAGGUUCCUGAAUGUGACAGUUGAUGUAAAGAUUGUACGAGAGAAAGACUCAGCAGAUUUUAUUCAGGUAGGGAUUUUGCUUCAUGUGUAUUAGGUGCGAGAGUCGGUAAGCCCCGUGGGGGAGUCUCGCUUUCUGGCGGGAGCUGUGCCUACGGCUGGGCCUGAGCACACCGCUGGGCCCAGCACAGGGGACCUGCUAAACACUUGAACGAACCGCUGCAAGUUAGAUGCUUUUGCAGAUUUUCCACCAAAAAAAAGUAAUACUGCUCUAUGGACUUUACGUAUCUACUUUACUUGAGUCUCAUGGACUUUGGGAUUUUGCUUUGUAAGAAAAACGUGGAACUGUGGCCAUUAUUCCAAAAAUGAAUAUUUGUUCGACUAAUGUCAAAUUUACAUUUUGCUGCCAUUUCUCGGCUUUUUGUGGCCAUGGCUUUUUAAGCCUCGAUGCUACCAUGGUGCAGUCUGUCUGAAGACAUUUCGAAUGACAUUUAAGUCCCACAUACCCGGUACUAACCAGAGGCAUCACUAGGCUGACUCCCUGCAUGGAACAGGCCCCGUUUUCUCUUGUCUUGGCGUCCCGCCUGUCUGGCUAGUGUCCCCUUUCACUCUCAGAAGAGUCUCAGUUUGGAGGAUCAAAUUCUGUGCUCACUUGGAGUUCCUCUUGUGGCUCAGUAGGGUAAGAACCUGACAUAGUGUCCGUGAGGAUGCAGGUUUAAUCCCCGACCUCAGGCCGUGGCUAAGGAUC
rnacentral:lncRNA from 1 species